CCUACGGGUGGCUGCAGUGGGGGAUAUUGGACAAUGGGGGAAACCCUGAUCCAGCGACGCCGCGUGAGUGAAGAAGUAUUUCGGUAUGUAAAGCUCUGUCAGCAGGGAAGAAAGAAAUGACGGUACCUGACCAAGAAGCCCCGGCUAACUACGUGCCAGCAGCCGCGGUAAUACGUAGGGGGCAAGCGUUAUCCGGAAUUACUGGGUGUACAGGGAGCGUAGACGGUGGUGCAAGUCAGGUGUGAAAGGCGGGGGCGCAAGCGUCGGACUGCACUGGAAAAUGGGUUACUUGAGUGCAGGAGAGGUAAGCGGAAUUCGUAGUGUAGCGGUGAAAUGCGUAGAUAUUAGGAAGAACACCAGUGGCGAAGGCGGCUUACUGGACUGUAACUGACAUUGAGGCUCGAAAGCGUGGGGAGCAAACAGGAUUAGAUACCCGAGUAGUC
rnacentral:rRNA from 1 species